rnacentral:rRNA from 1 species
AAUGAAGGCCCUCUGGGGUUGUUAAACUUCUUUUUAUCUGGGAAGAAACCCAUCUUUUCUAAGGUGGUUGACGGUACCAGUUGAAUAAGCACCGGCUAACUCCGUGC